CUCAAGUCAACUCAGAAGCAGGUCUUGUUUCCAUGGAGAUGUAUUUAAGGAUAAAGACAGAGGAACAAAUACCAGACCAGCAAACUUACCUGAAUCCAGCUGCCCUCAGAGUAUGGCUGAGGCUUGGUCAAAGCCCAGAACUUAGCAAGGGUUAGAGGACAUCAUGGGACCAUAUUCCCAGUCACUCCAGUUGCUGGGAGCAUGAAUACAAUGGCUGGAGCUCUAGUUACCAAUUCAGCCCAUGGGGACAAUGCCACACUGAUUUAGGAAAUGGCAGAGCUGGAAGGAGUCUAGAAGAAGACGAAAGUUUCUCCAGAUUCUAUUGAGUGCUGUUAUUAUAGAAGCCCUGGCCUUCCUAUCUCUGGCCUAUAUGUGAG
rnacentral:lncRNA from 1 species